CGCGUCCCAGGGGUCCCAUAUGCGGUGGAACGCUUUAUACGUAUCGUUUAUUUGUGCCGUUAGUUCGUCCAGGUUGCGGGUUUCUUUGAUUUUGCUUAUUAUGGUUGUGGUCGUGGGGAUUUUGGGGUCAGCCCAAAGUUCUGCUAUCGCUCGCCGUGCCGCUAGAUUGAUGCGGGCGGUUAGUUUGUUUUCACUUCUUGUUAGCGAAUCUAAC